UACGGAGGGAGCUAGCGUUAUUCGGAAUUACUGGGCGUAAAAGCGCACGUAGGCGGCUUUGUAAGUUAGAGGUGAAAGCCUGGAGCUCAACUCCAGAAUUGCCUUUAAGACUGCAUCGCUUGAAUCCAGGAGAGGUGAGUGGAAUUCCGAGUGUAGAGGUGAAAUUCGUAGAUAUUCGGAAGAACACCAGUGGCGAAGGGCGGACUCACUGGACUGGUAUUGACGCUGAGGUGCGAAAGCGUGGGGAGCAAACAGGG
rnacentral:rRNA from 1 species